CCCUUAGAUGUCCGGGGCCGCACGCGCGCUACACUGAAGGAAUCAGCGUGGCUUUCUCCCUGACCCGAAAGGGUUGGGAAAUCCGUUGAAUCUCCUUCGUGAUAGGGAUUGGGGCUUGAAAUUGUUCCCCAUGAACGAGGAAUUCCCAGUAAGCGCGAGUCAUAAGCUCGCGUUGAUUACGUCCCUGCCCUUUGUACACACCGCCCGUCGCUACUACCGAUUGAACGGUUUAGUGAGGGCCUCGGAUUGGUCUCGGCCCGCUCUUUACCGGGCGGCGCCGUUGGUCGAGAAGACGCUCGAACUUGAUCGUUUAGAGGAAGUAAAAGUCGUAACA
rnacentral:rRNA from 1 species